AAUUGAGCAAUGUGCGUGGCUAAAAUUGUGAAUACAAAACCUUAAAUUUGAGGUUGAAAAUGCAUACACGACCGAAGAAACAUAUAAGCUGCUAAAAUAAAUCUUCCCUAGAACUGUUGUACAAAAA